UGGUGUGAGUUGGAGAACUCUGG
rnacentral:piRNA from 1 species